rnacentral:rRNA from 1 species
UACAGAGGGGGCAAGCGUUAUUCGGAAUUACUGGGCGUAAAGCGCACGUAGGCGGCUUUGUAAGUUAGAGGUGAAAGCCCGGGGCUCAACUCCGGAAUUGCCUUUAAGACUGCAUCGCUCGAAUUGUGGAGAGGUAAGUGGAAUUCCGAGUGUAGAGGUGAAAUUCGUAGAUAUUCGGAAGAACACCAGUGGCGAAGGCGACUUACUGGACACAUAUUGACGCUGAGGUGCGAAAGCGUGGGGAGCAAACAGG